rnacentral:rRNA from 1 species
GACGAACGCUGGCGGCGUGCUUAACACAUGCAAGUCGAACGAAGUGGCGAACGGGUGAGUAACGCGUAAUCAACCUGCCCUUCAGAGGGGGACACCAGUUGGAAACGACUGCUAAUACCGCAUACUGAAGAGGGGGCUUGCGUCUGAUUAGCUAGUUGGAGGGGUAACGGCCCACCAAGGCGAUGAUAAGUAGCCGGUCUUAGAGGAUGAACGGACACAUUGGGACCUAGACACGGCCCAGACUUCUACGGGAGGCAGCAGUGGGGAAUCUUUCGCAAUGGACGAAAGUCGGACUGAGCAACGCCGCGGGAUGGAUGACGGCCUUCGGGUUGGAAAGCUCUGUUAAUCGGGACGCGGUACCGGAAUAGAAAGCAACGGCUAACUACGUGCCAGCAGCCGCGGUAAUUC